GAGGGUGAGUAAUUUAUGGGCUAAUUUUCAUUUUUGGAUGAACUAACCCUUUAAAGGAGCAAUUUGAAGUAGACAUAGUUAUUUUCUAACCAUAUAAAACAUGACACAUCAUGCAUUUCAGUUGAAUCUAUUACUUAAUUAACAUUCUCAAUCAGAACAUGGCUGUUACUUAUGAAGUUAAAUCAACAUCAAAUACAAAAGUAGCUGUACAUAAUGCAUGUAAGUACAUUAUAGUAUUAUAUAACAGUAGUACAUACAUUUUAGUUUAGUUUGCAUGAAUGGUCCCAGUUUAUAUUACGUGUCUUUUCUAAUUUAACCUACAAGCUACAAGAAUACUUUUUGUGCGCAAAAAAAUAUCAACUUUACUGUCAGUCUUCAACACGCGUUCAGGAGAGUACACUAGAUUUGGGUGAACUAUCUCUUUAAAGUGGGAUACAGGUAAGUUUUUGUGGUAGGGGUAGGGUUAGGUUUAGAAGUGGGUUAGGGGUUAUAGCAAUUAAUUACAAAUGUAAUUACAUGCAAUAAGUGCAUUUUAUCAAAUGAUUCAUUUCAGUGUGAAAAAACAGUAGUGAAAGGCACUUAAUAUGAAGUAGGUCCUGAUUAAUUAUAAUAAAGUUAGUUCUGGUUCUCAAAUCUGACUGGUCGAGAGGUGCUAAUAAAAAUGGAUAUAAAGAGGGACUUUUCACGGUUUGUAUCACUCCAUUUGAUGAUCCAGACUGUCUGUCUUUGCAUCAGUGGUGGUUAGGUGAAUCUUUCUGUCACACCAAUAGGUGACUUAAAGUGACUGUCUUUAUUAAACAUUCACUUGACCUGUUCAUUCAACAAUGCUGAUUCAUUUAGGAGUAAAACUUUACUGUCUUUAAAACUUUACAAUUUAUGCCGAGUUUAUUUUAGCACUGAUUUUCACUCGCUGACAGGUUUUGCAAAAUCGCCAAGUUAACAAAUGCCCAAAAUCGAAGGCAAAUCAGUGCUCGUUUACGCAAGUGACAAUCACGCAAUGUGAAUUAUCAAAGACAUGAUCUGAGAGAAUCGCUCAUGAAAUAUUUGCCAUGCUAAAUAACUGGACCUGUCAGCAAUUCAAAAUCCUGCUGUGUGAAAUAAGAAAAAUACAUCACCGUGACCUAAAGCCAAUGAGAGAGCAAGAUACAGGGUAGUGGGAAGUUCGGGAAGGAGUUAUAUGAAAUUUCACACCUUGCCUGCCCCUCAUGUUGUUCUCAGUCAAAAUUCACUGUUCA
ensembl:lncRNA